rnacentral:rRNA from 1 species
CUUUCCUUGAUGACGACUGGCGCACGGGUGAGUAACGCGUAUCCAACCUUCCCAUAACUACGGGAUAACCCGUUGAAAGACGGCCUAAUACCGUAUGACAUCGUUUGCUGACAUCAAAUAACGAUUAAAGGUUUAGCGGUUAUGGAUGGGGAUGCGUCUGAUUAGCUUGUUGGCGGGGUAACGGCCCACCAAGGCAACGAUCAGUAGGGGUUCUGAGAGGAAGGUCCCCCACAUUGGAACUGAGACACGGUCCAAACUCCUACGGGAGGCAGCAGGC